rnacentral:rRNA from 1 species
UUAUAUGAGAGUUUGAUCCUGGCUCAGGACGAACGCUGGCGGCGUGCCUAAUACAUGCAAGUCGAACGCACGAAGUUGAAGAGCUUGCUCUUUAACGAAGUGAGUGGCGGACGGGUGAGUAACACGUGGGUGACAGGCUAAAUUAGAGGGGGAUAACAUUCGGAAACGGAUGCUAAUACCGCAUAGUUUCAGGRAUCGCAUGAUUCUUGAAGGAAAGGUGGCUUCGGCUACCACUAAUGGAUGGACCCACGGCGUAUUAGCUAGUUGGUGAGGUAAUGGCUCACCAAGGCAAUGAUACGUAGCCGACCUGAGAGGGUCAUCGGCCACACUGGGACUGAGACACGGCCCAGACUCCUACGGGAGGCAGCAGUAGGGAAUCUUCCGCAAUGGACGAAAGUCUGACGGAGCAACGCCGCGUGAGUGAAGAAGGUUUUCGGAUCGUAAAACUCUGUUGUUAAAGAAGAACAAGGAUGAGAGUAACUGCUCAUCGCCUGACGGUAUUUAACCAGAAAG